rnacentral:rRNA from 1 species
GUGAGGAAUUUUCCGCAAUGGGCGAAAGCCUGACGGAGCAAUGCCGCGUGAAGGAUGAAGGCCUAUGGGUUGUAAACUUCUUUUCUCAGAAAAGAAUUAUGACGGUAUCUGAGGAAUAAGCAUCGGCUAACUCUGUGCCAGCAGCCGCGGUAAGACAGAGGAUGCAAGCGUUAUCCGGAAUGAUUGGGCGUAAAGCGUCUGUAGGUUGUUUAAAAAGUAUUCUGUCAAAGAUUAGGGCUUAACCCUAGAUAGGCAGAAUAAACUUUUAAGCUAGAGUUUGGUAGAGGCAGGGGGAAUUCCCGGUGGAGCGGUGAAAUGCGUAGAUAUCGGGAGGAACACCAAAGGCGAAGGCACUCUGCUGGGCCAAUACUAACACUGAGAGACGAAAGCGAGGGGAGCAAAUGGGAUUAGAUACCCUAGUAGUCC